rnacentral:rRNA from 1 species
CCUACGUGAGGCAGCAGUGAGGAAUAUUGGUCAAUGGGCUUACGCCUGAACCAGCCAAGUCGCGUGAGGGAAGACUGCCCUAUGGGUUGUAAACCUCUUUUGUCAGGGAGCAACGCCGGCUACGUGUAGCCGGACUGAGAGUACCUGAAGUAAAAGCAUCGGCUAACUCCGUGCCAGCAGCCGCGGUAAUACGGAGGAUGCGAGCGUUAUCCGGAUUUAUUGGGUUUAAAGGGAGCGUAGGUGGAUUGUUAAGUCAGUUGUGAAAGUUUGCGGCUCAACCGUAAAAUUGCAGUUGAAACUGGCAGUCUUGAGUACAGUAGAGGUGGGCGGAAUUCGUGGUGUAGCGGUGAAAUGCUUAGAUAUCACGAAGAACUCCGAUUGCGAAGGCAGCUCACUGGACUGCAACUGACACUGAGGCUCGAAAGUGUGGGUAUCAAACAGGAUUAGAUACCCUGGUAGUC